rnacentral:tRNA from 1 species
GCGCCGAUGGUUUAGUGGUAAAAUUCUCCGUUGCCAUCCCAGCGUCGGGGAGCCGGGGGUAUUCCCCCUCGGCGCA